AGAAGACCUCACCGAUCAGGAAGAAGGCUAAGGACACAGUGUUGUGUGGAGGAGGGACACCCCAGCGAGGGUUAAUCAGACAGGUUGGUACGAAGCAGAAAACUGUUAUAGCCAUUUGGCACCAUAGGGAAGCCACCAUGAAGACAAUAUUGAAGUAAAAAGGAGGGCCGAGCUAAGAAAAUGGCAAACUCCCCUGUGCAGUCUACACAUGAACCUUGGACCAUGGACCUUCCAGAAUGUUAGCUGGGCUACUUAAAGAAGAUGAAGUUCAGGGUUCUUCACUCUUGACCAAAACCUUGCUCUCCAGGGGACCGGCUGUAUGGCUUUGGGGCUGGUCCCAAAGCCCUUGGAAAAUGAAUGAAGCUGAGGUCAGCAGCGGGCAUCUCGGCACAUUAUUAUCAAUUCACUGGGGUUACUGAAAUCCAAUGCUGGACUCUUUCUGGUGGAAGACCUGGCUCUCCCAGGAACGAAGAGUUUAAUGACAAACUGAGAAACGAGGCGCCCAUCCCCAGAACACAAGGCCAGGGACUGGGAGGCAUGUGUUUGGUCAAGCAAGGUGU